rnacentral:rRNA from 1 species
GACGAACGCUGGCGGCGUGCUUAACACAUGCAAGUCGAGCGGUAAGGCCCUUUCGGGGGUACACGAGCGGCGAACGGGUGAGUAACACGUGGGUGACCUGCCCUCAGCUCUGGAAUAAGCCUGGGAAACCGGGUCUAAUACUGGAUAUGACUCCAUGACGCAUGUUGUGGGGUGGAAAGCCUUGUGCGGCUGAGGAUGGGCCCGCGGCCUAUCAGCUUGUUGGUGGGGUGAUGGCCUACCAAGGCGACGACGGGUAGCCGGCCUGAGAGGGCGACCGGCCACACUGGGACUGAGACACGGCCCAGACUCCUACGGGAGGCAGCAGUGGGGAAUCUUGCGCAAUGGGCGAAAGCCUGACGCAGCGACGCCGCGUGAGGGAUGACGGCCU